rnacentral:rRNA from 1 species
GAUGAACGCUGGCGGAGUGCCUAACACAUGCAAGUCGAGCGGCAGCGCGAGUAGUUUACUACUUGGCGGCGAGCGGCGGACGGCCGAGUAACGCGUGGGAACAUGCCCCAAAGUGAGGAAUAACUGCCCGAAAGGGUAGCUAAUGCCGCAUAUGAUCUUCGGAUUAAAGGAUUUAUCCGCUUUGGGAGUGGCCUGCGUACGAUUAGAUAGUUGGUGAGGUAAAGGCUCACCAAGUCGACGAUCGUUAACUGGUUUGAGAGGAUGAUCAGUCAGACUGGAACUGAGACACGGUCCAGACUCCUACGGGAGGCAGCAGUGAGGAAUCUUCCACAAUGGGCGAAAGCCUGAUGGAGCAACUCCGCGUGCAGGAUGAAGGCCUUCGGGUUGUAAACUGCUUUUAUGAGUGAAGAAUAUGACGGUAACUCAUGAAUAAGGGUCGGCUAACUACGUG